GCGAGUAUAGUUUAAUGGUAAAAUAUCAGCUUCCCAAGCUGAGGUUACGAGUUCGAUUCUCGCUACUCGCUCCA
rnacentral:tRNA from 1 species